rnacentral:rRNA from 1 species
UAUGAUCCAGAGUACCACGGGACACGUGAAACCCUGUGGGAAGCAGGAGGGACCACCCUCCAAGGCUAAAUACUACCUAGUGACCGAUAGCGUAUAGUACCGUGAGGGAAAGGUGAAAAGAACCCCGGGAGGGGAGUGAAAUAGAACCUGAAACCCUGCACUUACAAGCUGUGGAAGCACAUUUCUUGUGUGACCGCGUACUUUUUGUAGAACGGGCCAACGAGUUACGUUAAGUAGCAAGGUUAAGCACUUAAGGUGCGGAGCCGUAGCGAAAGCGAGUUUUAACUGAGCGUUCAGUUACUUGACGUAGACCCGAAACCGGGCGACCUACCCAUGAGCAGGAUGAAGCGAAAGUAAAAUUUCGUGGAGGUCCGAACCCACGAGCGUUGAAAAGCUCGGGGAUGACUUGUGGGUAGCGGUGAAAUUCCAAUCGAGCCCGGAGAUAGCUGGUUCUCCCCGAAAUAGCUUUAGGGCUAGCCUCAAGGUGAGAGAUACGGAGGUAGAGCACUGAAUGUCCUAGGGGGUAUUGCACCUACCGAAGACUAUCAAACUCCGAAUGCCGUCAUCUUAUACUUGGGAGUCAGACUGUGGGUGAUAAGAUUCAUAGUCGAAAGGGCAACAGCCCAGAUCGUCAGCUAAGGUCCCUAAAUGUAAGUUAAGUGGUAAAGGAUGUGGGAUUGCACAGACAACCAGGAUGUUGGCUUAGAAGCAGCCACUCAUUCAAAGAGUGCGUAAUAGCUCACUGGUCGAGUGAUCCUGCGCCGAAGAUUUCCGGGGCUAAAACUUACUACCGAAGCUACGGCAUCAGUAAUGAUGGGUAGGGGAGCUUCCCAUACGGGUUGAAGCAUGACCGUAAGGACAUGUGGACAGUAUGGGAGUGAGAAUGUUGGCAUGAGUAGCGAGAUGUGGGUGAGAAUCCCACAGGCCGUAAACCCAAGGUUUCCAGGGGAAGGUUCGUCCGCCCUGGGUUAGUCGGGACCUAAGCUGAGGCCGAAAGGCGUAGGUGAUGGACAACAGGUUGAUAUUCCUGUACUACCGAUAACCGUUUGAGAGAAGGGAUGACACAGUAGGAUAAGCUAAGCACACUGUUGGUUAUGUGUGCCCAAGCAUUGAGGCAGUCAAAGUAGGCAAAUCCGCUUUGAUAAUGCUGGGAUGUGAUGGGGAGCGAAAUUUAGUAGCGAAGUAGCUGAUUUCACACUGUCAAGAAAAGUCUCUAUCGAGGUUAAAGGUACCCGUACCGCAAACCGACACAGGUGGGUGAGGAGAGUAUCCUAAGGCCAGCGAGAGAACUGUUGUUAAGGAACUCGGCAAAAUGACCCCGUAACUUAGGGAUAAGGGGUGCCACCAUCAGGUGGCCGCAGAGAAUAGGCCCAAGCGACUGUUUACCAAAAACAUAGGUUUCUGCUAAGUCGCAAGACGAUGUAUAGGAGCUGACGCCUGCCCGGUGCUGGAAGGUUAAGGGGAUCUGUUAGAGCAAUCGAAGCAGUGAACUUAAGCCCCAGUAAACGGCGGCCGUAACUAUAACGGUCCUAAGGUAGCGAAAUUCCUUGUCGGGUAAGUUCCGACCCGCACGAAAGGCGUAACGAUUUGGG